AUGAAACAUAAGCUAUUCCAUCACACCUCCUACUUCUCUUCUUACUUUCCUUCUCCUUUCUCCUUCCUCCUCCAUUUUCACCUCCUUUUAAGCUUUCAUUUUGUAGUCUUGAGCUCCUCACGAGCACCUCCUCGCCGCCACCCUAUUACCACCAUUUGGCCGCCACCUUGCCGCCACCUCCUUCCUUGCGUUGCACCGAGGAAUUUCGGGUUCGAAAUUAGGAGUUCCGUACUUGUGUGCAAGGAUCAAGAUAGGUGAUGGCGAUCGGACAACGUGAACUAUAUGCUGCAUUGGGAAUUAUGGGCGGUGAUCACCUAGUUUAAUUUAGUAUACAUAGUAUUAGUGGUGUAACUAUUUUGAAAGUGUAUCAAACUAUUAUCAUUACUAUUAUUAUUAAUGAAAGUUAAAUACUAUUUUC